CCUACGGGAGGCUGCAGUGGGGAAUAUUGGACAAUGGGGGGAACCCUGAUCCAGCCAUGCCGCGUGUGUGAAGAAGGCCCUCGGGUUGUAAAGCACUUUCAGUGAGGAAGAACGCCUGGUGGUUAAUACCCAUCAGGAAAGACAUCACUCACAGAAGAAGCACCGACUAACUCCGUGCCAGCAGCCGCGGUAAUACGGAGGGUGCGAGCGUUAAUCGGAAUUACUGGGCGUAAAGCGCGCGUAGGUGGCUUGAUAAGCCGGUUGUGAAAGCCCCGGGCUCAACCUGGGAACGGCAUCCGGAACUGUCAAGCUAGAGUGCAGGAGAGGAAGGUAGAAUUCCCGGUGUAGCGGUGAAAUGCGUAGAGAUCGGGAGGAAUACCAGUGGCGAAGGCGGCCUUCUGGACUGACACUGACACUGAGGUGCGAAAGCGUGGGUAGCAAACAGGAUUAGAUACCCGAGUAGUC
rnacentral:rRNA from 1 species